rnacentral:rRNA from 1 species
UACAGAGGUCUCAAGCGUUGUUCGGAUUCAUUGGGCGUAAAGGGUGCGUAGGCGGCGCGGUAAGUCGGGUGUGAAAUCUUGGAGCUUAACUCCGAAACUGCAUUUGAUACUGCCGUGCUUGAGGACUGGAGAGGAGACUGGAAUUUACGGUGUAGCGGUGAAAUGCGUAGAUAUCGUAAGGAAGACCAGUGGCGAAGGCGGGUCUCUGGACAGUUCCUGACGCUGAGGCACGAAGGCCAGGGGAGCAAACGGG